rnacentral:rRNA from 1 species
GAUCAUGGCUCAGAUUGAACGCUGGCGGCAGGCCUAACACAUGCAAGUCGAACGGUAACAGGAAGCAGCUUGCUGCUUCGCUGACGAGUGGCGGACGGGUGAGUAAUGUCUGGGAAACUGCCUGAUGGGGGGGGAUAACUACUGGGAACGGUAGCUAAUACCGCAUAACGUCGCAAGACCAAAGAGGGGGACCUUCGGGCCUCUUGCCAUCGGAUGUGCCCAGAUGGGAUUAG